UACGUAGGGUCCGAGCGUUGUCCGGAAUUAUUGGGCGUAAAGGGCUCGUAGGCGGUCUGUUGCGUCGGGAGUGAAAACUUACAGCUUAACUGUGAGCGUGCUUCCGAUACGGGCAGACUUGAGGUAUUCAGGGAGAACGGAAUUCCUGGUGUAGCGGUGAAAUGCGCAGAUAUCAGGAGGAAUACCGGUGGCGAAGGCGGUUCUCUGGGCCUUACCUGACGCUGAGGAGCGAAAGCGUGGGGAGCAAACAGG
rnacentral:rRNA from 1 species